rnacentral:lncRNA from 10 species
AGAGCCCAGUCACCUUUCCAAGGUCCCCCGGAGCAGCACGCUGUUCCGAAGCACAGAGAACUGGGAAGCACCCUCACCCUGUGGCUUUGUGGACUGGCAUCCUGUUUGCAAGCCAGGAAAGGCCUCUGGUACCCUCUGGGCCGGCAUCUCCAUCUGAAGCCCAGGCAACAGAGGCACAGAGAGAUGGAGCGGCUUGCCCAAGGCUACACGGCCAGCCAGACAGAAGGACUAGAGCUCAACCACCAGGCAAUGGUAAGGAGGAACCCCACUCUCCAGGGAG